GACGAACGCUGGCGGCGUGCCUAACACAUGCAAGUGGAGCGACGAACCGGGCUUCGGCCCGGGGCAGAGCCGCGAACGGGUGAGUAACACGUGGGUAACCUGCCCUGAUGAUCGGGACAACCCGAGGAAACUCGGGCUAAUACCGAAUGUGCCCUCUGGCCUCAAGGCCUCUGGGGAAAGGAAGCUUCGGCCUCCGCAUCGGGAUGGGCCCGCGGCCCAUUAGCUUGUUGGUGAGGCAAAGGCNCACCAAGGCAACGAUGGGUAGCUGGUCU
rnacentral:rRNA from 1 species